rnacentral:rRNA from 1 species
AGUAAAUAGAUACCCGGGUAGUCCACGCCGUAAACGAUGAGUACUAGGUGUAGGAGGUAUCGACUCCUUCUGUGCCGCAGUUAAACACAAUAAGUACUCCGCCUGGGAAGUACGGUCGCAAGAUUAAAACUUAAAGGAAUUGACGGGGGCCCGCACAAGCAGCGGAGCAUGUGGUUUAAUUCGAAGCAACGCGAAGAACCUUACCUAGACUUGACAUCUCCUGAAUAGUGUAGAGAUACAUGAAGCCCUUCGGGCGAGGAAGACAGGUGGUGCAUGGUUGUCGUCAGCUCGUGUCGUGAGAUGUUGGGUUAAGUCCCGCAACGAGCGCAACCUUACUUACU